rnacentral:rRNA from 1 species
UACAGAGGUCUCAAGCGUUGUUCGGAUUCAUUGGGCGUAAAGGGUGCGUAGGCGGCGCGGUAAGUCGGGUGUGAAAUUUCGAGGCUUAACUUCGAAACUGCAUUCGAUACUGCCGUGCUUGAGGACUGGAGAGGAGACUGGAAUUUACGGUGUAGCGGUGAAAUGCGUAGAUAUCGUAAGGAAGACCAGUGGCGAAGGCGGGUCUCUGGCCCGGUACUGACGCUGAGGUGCGAAAGCGUGGGGAGCAAACAGG